UUGGGAGCUCACUGGCUUCGGAGUCAUAAGAACUCUAAAGUUAAGCGAGUUUGGGUUACAGCAAUCCCAGGAUGGGUGACCCACUAGGAAGUUGCUAGUGAGUUCCUAGA
rfam:Prunus persica cultivar Lovell chromosome G4, whole genome shotgun sequence.